CAGGACGUCCUUGCACGGCCAAAGGAUGUACAAAUCGCACGCAUGGAAGCCGACAUUCAUUCUUCCGAUUUCCCAUCGAUGAACGGAAAUCUGCGUGGAUCGCCUAUGCACAACGCCCUGAGCUGAACCUGAACGAUUUGGCAGACUCAGCUCUAAGUUGUAGGCUUUUGUGUGGCGAGCACUUCUCACCGGACUGCUUCAUCUCUCGUGCCAAAGUACGGUUGAAGAAAACAGCUUGUCCGACAGUUCCGCUGCAGGGACAAGCCAGUACUUCACUGCAGAGACAAUGGCCUGGGCUACUUGCACUUGAUUAUGAUAUGCCUCUUCAAUCACAAGAGCAAACACAGGAGCCUCAUGGUGCAUCAGAUAUGCCAGUGGAAG